AUUUAUAUAGUAUAAUGAGUACAAUUGACUUCCAAUCAAAUAGUCUAUAAUUUUAUAGUAUAAAUA
rnacentral:tRNA from 1 species